GAUGAACGCUGGCGGCGUGCCUAAUACAUGCAAGUCGAACGCUUUUUCUUUCACCGGAGCUUGCUCCACCGAAAGAAAAAGAGUGGCGAACGGGUGAGUAACACGUGGGUAACCUGCCCAUCAGAAGGGGAUAACAAUUGGAAACAGGUGCUAAUACCGUAUAACACUAUUUUCCGCAUGGAAGAAAGUUGAAAGGCGCUUUUGCGUCACUGAUGGAUGGACCCGCGGUGCAUUAGCUAGCUGGUGAGGUAACGGCUCACCAAGGGAACGAUGCAUAGACGAGCUGCGAGGGUGAGCGGCCACACUGGGAAUGAGUAACGGCCCAGACUCCUACGGGAGGAAGCAGGAGGGAAUCUUCGGCAAUGGACGAAAGUCUGACCGAGCAACGCCGCGUGAGUGAAGAAGGUUUUCGGAUCGUAAAACUCUGUUGUUAGAGAAGAACAAGGAUGAGAGUAAAAUGUUCAUCCCUUGACGGUAUCUAACCAGAAAGCCACGGCUAACUACGUGCCAGCAGCCGCAGUAA
rnacentral:rRNA from 1 species